rnacentral:rRNA from 1 species
GUGGACCUACGGGGGGCAGCAGUGGGGAAUAUUGCACAAUGGGGGAAACCCUGAUGCAGCGACGCCGCGUGAGUGAAGAAGUAUUUCGGUAUGUAAAGCUCUAUCAGCAGGGAAGAAAAUGACGGUACCUGACUAAGAAGCCCCGGCUAACUACGUGCCAGCAGCCGCGGUAAUACGUAGGGGGCAAGCGUUAGCCGGAUUUACUGGGUGUAAAGGGAGCGUAGACGGCUGCGCAAGUCUGAAGUGAAAGCCCGGGGCUCAACCCCGGGACUGCUUUGGAAACUGGGUAGUUAGAGUGCUGGAGG